rnacentral:rRNA from 1 species
GAUGAACGCUGGCGGCGUGCCUAAUACAUGCAAGUCGAGCGAACAGACGAGGAGCUUGCUCCUCUGACGUUAGCGGCGGACGGGUGAGUAACACGUGGAUAACCUACCUAUAAGACUGGGAUAACUUCGGGAAACCGGAGCUAAUACCGGAUAAUAUAUUGAACCGCAUGGUUCAAUAGUGAAAGACGGUUUUGCUGUCACUUAUAGAUGGAUCCGCGCCGCAUUAGCUAGUUGGUAAGGUAACGGCUUACCAAGGCAACGAUGCGUAGCCGAACUGAGAGGGUGAUCGGCCACACUGGAACUGAGACACGGUCCAGACUCCUACGGGGGGCAGCAGUAGGGAAUCUUCCGCAAUGGGCGAAAGCCUGACGGAGCAACGCCGCGUGAGUGAUGAAGGUCUUCGGAUCGUAAAACUCUGUUAUUAGGGAAGAACAAAUGUGUAAGUAACUAUGCACGUCUUGACGGUACCUAAUCAGAAAGCCACGGCUAACUACGUG